CUACUAUGCCCAGCUCCGCCUCUCUUCCAAUCUCUGAAAGCCACCUGGAAACGUGCCCCCGGCGCCAAACCACUGCGCAGGGGGGGCAAUUACACUCGGGGCGGGGUGGGGCAGGGGACUGCUUGUCUUUCUGGCAGACGUUCCCCACAGUCGGCGGUGAGGGUCGCUGCAGGACACACCAAAGCACCAACAGUCGGUGCGCAGCUCGCGCUCUGCGGGCGCCUCGUCUGCGCAGGGAUUUCCAGUCUUAACACCAAAAUGCGUUCAUCCCUGAAAUGAAGUCAGUCCUUAGAGGCAAUUAAACUAACGGCUCGAGCUGCCCUAGCCUUUAUCGCUCGCUGAGCUGCCGGUGGCCAUCCCCACCCAGCUCUCCUGCCGGCCGGACCUUAAAUUGGUCGCGGAGCGCGGAGUCCCCACCCAGGCUGUGGGCCCACAGCGGGCCUUUCCCGUUUGAAGAUUACUGCGCCUUUCUACAGUCCUUCCGCGAGACCUCGAUGGUAUUCUCGCGAGGAGUCUGAGGGCAGAAGUGAUGGCGGCGGCGGGGAGCGGACCUGGGCCGGGAGUGGUUGCUGGACCUGGCCCAGGAGCAGCCGCAAAUGCAACUACCACAGAAGAGGGGGAGACGAAGCCGGUGGCGGCGGUGGCAGCCGCUCCGGCUGGAGAGGGGACUUCGGCUGCUUCGGCAGCUGAGCCCAGUUCCGGAGAGGCUGAAGGCGGGGAUGCAAACAUGGUUGAUGUAAGUGGUGGUUUGGAGACAGAGUCCUCCAAUGGAAAAGAUACACUAGAAGGUGCUGGGGAUGCUUCAGAGGUGAUGGAUACUCAGGCCAACUCGGUGGAUGAAGAGAAUAGCCGACAGUUGGGAGAGGUAGAACUGCAAUGUGGGAUAUGUACAAAGUGGUUCACUGCGGACACCUUUGGCAUAGAUACCUCAUCCUGUCUGCCGUUCAUGACCAACUACAGUUUCCAUUGCAAUGUAUGCCAUCAUAGUGGUAAUACUUAUUUCCUCCGGAAGCAAGCAAACUUGAAGGAAAUGUGCCUUAGUGCUUUGGCCAACCUAACGUGGCAGUCCCGAACGCAGGAUGAACAUCCAAAAACCAUGUUCUCCAAAGACAAGGAUAUUAUACCAUUUAUUGAUAAAUACUGGGAAUGCAUGACGACCAGACAGAGACCUGGGAAAAUGACUUGGCCAAAUAACAUCGUUAAAACAAUGAGUAAAGAAAGAGAUGUAUUCUUGGUAAAGGAACACCCAGAUCCUGGGAGCAAAGACCCAGAAGAAGAUUACCCCAAAUUUGGACUUUUGGAUCAGGAUCUUAGUAAUAUUGGUCCUGCUUAUGACAACCAAAAACAAAGUAGUGCAGUGUCUACCAGUGGGAAUCUAAAUGGUGGAGCCACUUUUGGAGGGGGAAUUGCAGUGAGCAGCAGUGGAAAAGGAAGAGGAGCUAAGCGCAAACAACAGGAUGGAGGGACCACAGGGACCACCAAGAAGGCUCGGAGUGAUCCUUUGUUUUCUGCUCAGCGCCUUCCCCCUCAUGGCUAUCCCUUGGAACACCCAUUUAACAAAGAUGGCUAUCGGUAUAUUCUAGCCGAGCCGGAUCCCCAUGCCCCUGACCCUGAGAAGCUUGAACUUGACUGCUGGGCAGGAAAACCUAUUCCUGGAGACCUCUACAGAGCCUGCUUAUACGAACGGGUUUUGUUGGCCCUGCAUGACAGAGCUCCCCAGUUAAAGAUCUCUGAUGACCGGCUGACUGUGGUUGGAGAGAAGGGUUACUCUAUGGUGCGGGCCUCUCAUGGGGUACGGAAAGGUGCCUGGUACUUUGAAAUCACCGUGGAUGAGAUGCCACCAGACACUGCUGCCAGACUGGGUUGGUCCCAGCCCUUAGGUAAUCUUCAAGCUCCCUUAGGUUAUGAUAAAUUUAGCUAUUCUUGGCGGAGCAAAAAGGGAACCAAGUUCCACCAGUCCAUUGGGAAACACUACUCUUCUGGCUAUGGGCAGGGAGACAUCCUGGGAUUUUAUAUUAACCUUCCUGAAGACACAGAGACAGCCAAGUCAUUGCCUGAUACUUACAAAGAUAAGGCUUUAAUAAAGUUCAAGAGUUAUUUGUAUUUUGAAGAAAAAGACUUUGUGGAUAAAGCAGAGAAGAGCCUAAAGCAGACUCCCCAUAGUGAGGUGAGUUGUGGUCAUAAAAACAUCAGAAUUAUAAGGCUUGAAGAUCAGGACCCGCAUGUUAAUUAUAAAGGUGAGAAAAAUGCAGCCCAGAGAGAAUUGAAAGGAUUUUGUGGUAACACACCCAAGAGGCAGGCUCACUGUCCUGUCCCCUGUUCUGUGUUCUUUCUCUGGUUCCCUGCCACUGCUCGUGGAGGGACCUGCCCCUUCAGGACCUCUGGAGAAAGGGUGUAAGAACAGUGGCCUGAUGAGGAAAUCCACGAGAGAGAGGUAGCGAGUCACUCGUCUUUUUUCCAUGUCAGAGGAGGUGUGCAGUACAGAGGGAGGAACACUGGAGUAGGAGGGGAGACCCUCGGAGUUCUCCAGAACUUUCCCUGCUCUCUUUCCGAGAGUUGUUUGGAACAUGUCUGCCCAAGGUCAAAGCACAAAGAAAGGGCUGGCACAUCUGGGCCAGCCACAGGGGUCACAAAUAAAAGCAGGGAGAAAAUUCUGAGCUAGCAACAUUUUUUCAUAGAAAUGCUGUAAAGCCCCCUAGGACAGUAAUAGGAGGGAAUGUAGGAGAAAUGGAGUUGGGUGGGGUUUUUUGGUAGGGGGCGAACAGGCUGGGAGGACUGUAAAGGGAAACGGUUAGUAGAUCAAAGGAUGAUAGAUCCAGAAAAUAGAGCCAGGGAGAAGAUCAUUCUUAGGAAGAAAAAGGAGUCUUUCCUAGAGACCAAAUAUAUAGUGAUAAGGAAAACAUUCGGGAUAAUUAUGGGAGAGAAAGGACAAAGAAAAUGAAGAUUCAGAGACCAUGACAGAAAUUCUAAUAGAACGUCAAAGUAAAAAAGCAGAAUUAGUGUAAGGGCAAGCGAUCAAUAUGUAAAUAAGUUCAGACAGGUAGAGGUCCAAGGAAUCUGCGCCACCCUGGAUUACUUUUCAUAAUUACAAUGUAGUGAAUAAUAGAAUGUAGAACUGCUUGGUAUAUGUAGCAUAGAAACUCAGAAAGCAAAUAAGAAAUCCAGGGUCCAAUUGGAAUAGCGCAUUUAAACAUGUUUUGAAAAUCUCAAGUAUUGGCUUGGCGCCUACAGCUCAAGCAGCUGAGGUGCCAGCCACAUACACCAGAACUGGCAGGUUCCAAUUCAGCCUGGGCCCACCAAACAAGAAUGACAACUACAACCAGAAAGUAGCCGGCUAUUGUGGUGGGCACCUGUGAUUCCAGCUACUUGGGAGGCUGAGGCAAGAGAAUCACUUAAGCUCAGUUUGAGGUUGCUGUGAGCUAAGUUUGAGGUUGCUGUGAGCUGCGGCACCAUGGCAUUCUACAGAGGGCAACAGCUUGAGACUCUGACUCAAAAAAAGAAAAUCUAAAGUAUUAAAUAAUUUUAAAAUGUUAUUACAUAUGGUUUAUACUCUUCUUGGGAUACCAGUCUGGUAGCAUCACCUGUAAUGUGUUUUCUGAGGGAGUAUUUUCUGUUCUUUUGUUCUUUUUGUAAAUUUUGAAGUAAAGUUACGGUUUUUG